rnacentral:lncRNA from 13 species
CUCCGGGGCGAUGCCGUGGGGAGACGCUCGUGAAAGAUCCUGCCUGGUCCCUCGCCAGCCCUGUCUGAAACGUGAGGCGGGGAGGGAGUGCGCUCGCUUGCAGCUCCUCUGGCACUUCACUCCAAAACCCGCCAGCCGGCACGAAAUGCAAAGCACUCCCUUGCUACCGGGGUGCCAUUACCUGGGCCAAAGCGAGCAAACCGGGAGGGAGGGCAGGCAAAGGAGAGAGGGAAAGCAUUUUCCCGCCUCGGUGACUUGGCGACUCGGGGACCACAGCCUUCAACACGACCUGCUUGAUACCCAGUCGAGAUGGGAUGGUUGGAAAAAGGGCGCCUGAAUAGAGUCUCGCUUUCUUUUCCAGCGUUCUGUGCAAUCCUACAGCCCCAGUCCCAAAUCAGCUACGGCCUCUCUGUGUUUUGUCUGUCUCUUAUACACAUCUAGAUGUGUAUAAGAGACAGGGAGGGAAGGGGCGCGAGAGGCAAAAAUAAGAGGGGGGGAACCUGGGAGCGGGGCAGGAGCGGCGCGGGGCCGGGGCGCGGGCAGGCGGCCGGGGCUGAGCGUGCGGUGGCAGCGGCGGGGCGCGCAGUCCUGCGGGCCGGCCCGGGGCCGGGGCCGGCGGCCGAGCCGGUGCCGCGCCCGUGGCUGCCUCCGGCACUCCAGUGCCGGCGGGGGCUCAGAUAUGCGUCAAGGGGACGGUGCCGUUCACCCCCGUGCUGGCGCUCUGGUAGUGCUGGGGCAGGGAGUGGAGCCGGCUCUGGGCGGCAGCGGCCGCCGGAUCCCCGCCUUCCCCGGCCGCGCCCGCAGCCGCUUCGCCUCGUCGAUGAACGGUCUCUUCUCGGCCUCCGACAUGACUUUCCACUCGGCUCCCAGGCGCUUGCUGAUCUCCGAGUUGUGCAUUUUGGGGUUCUCCUGGGCCAUCUUCCGCCGCUGGCCCCGCGACCACACCAUGAAGGCGUUCAUGGGUCUCUUGACCCGGUCCUGGUUUGCUUUGUUUCCCCCGCCGCCGCCGCCGCCGCCGCCGCCGCCGCCUCCCGCUCCGGUCUGCCCCGAGAGACGUGAAAAAUGAAUCAAACAUAGAGGAGCCCGGGAGGACGGUGAGUGAGCGAGGCGAAACCCGUUUGUAUCUAGGUAGCGACCGCCGUGUGAAGAAAAAAAAAAAAAAAAAAAAAAAAAAAAAAAAAAAAAAGAGGAGGAGAAGAAAACCGCGAGGAGAGCGAUCGGCGACCCUGCCGGCGAAAACUUUCUCCCUUUCGCAAAUCACUUUCGGGGCUCGGCGGCGACGGGGGUUCGAGCUGCUCAAACAGGUGCACGGCAAACUUGCUGCUUCACUUGGCGCGGCGGGAGGAGUGUGCGGAGCCGUCGGCGGUGUCCUCCGCUCGCCGGCGCUCCCCGGCAGACGCGCGCACACCCCUCCGCUCCCGCUCUUAUCCUUAACGGAGCUAUUUUUUUUUUGUUCUUUGCUGCUAACUUGGAGAGAGAGAGGGAGGGAGGGGAGGGAGCGUGUGUGACUUGCAUCCGCUGAUCGCAGGUGAACGGAGCAGAAGAGAGGAGAACCCACCGCCACGCGAAAAGGAGGCGAAAAAAAAAAAAGUAUUUCAACGUUAANNNNNNNNNNNNNNNNNNNNNNNNNNNNNNNNNNNNNNNNNNNNNNNNNNNNNNNNNNNNNNNNNNNNNNNNNNNNNNNNNNNNNNNNNNNNNNNNNNNNNNNNNNNNNNNNNNNNNNNNNNNNNNNNNNNNNNNNGGAUCGGGGGUGGGAGGGGGUGGGGGAAGGAGCCCAACCAAAACACGCGCCGAUUCCGGCGGCCGGGGCGCGGCGGCACAGCAAUUUGCUGGCGGUGGUCUCCCUCCCGCGGCCCGGGCGGGACGGCCGGGAUGGGGCCGGGACGGGGCCGGCAGAGGAGGAGGAGCCGCCGGGCGCGCGGGCGAGCGGCGCCGCAGCCAUACGGCGCGCGCCGAGCCCGCCUUAAAUCGCCUGGCGGCGGCCAAUGGGGGCGCGCCGGCGGGCGCUGAUUUGCAUAUGGCGCGCGCCGAGCGGUGACGUGCACCGGGGCGCGCCGCGCUCGGGGGGGCGGAGGGGCCGCGUCCCGCCCGCGGCCCCCGACGGCGCCCCCGGGGCCGGAACACCCCCCCGGCCACCCCUCUGGCCCCGCCGGGCAUCGCCGCAGGGAGCCCUGAAGCCUCGGGCUGCCGCGUCCCCGCCGGGCGCGCCCCUCACUUAGACGACCGUCGAGCAGUAUUUAGGGGGGCUGAGGCGCCCCAGGCUGUCCGUCCCGGUACCGCAGGCCUGCGAUCGGCACGCAAACACGCCUUUUCCGCGGGACUUCGUUCUGGAGAAUUCUCUGGAGCCCCCUCAGACAUUUCUCCCAGGUGUUAAAACUGCUCCCAGGCCCAGGCAUGAGGCAGAGGCUGGACGCAGUCGUUAUUCACUUAGUCCUAGGGGAGUUAAAAGCACCUGCGACUAAAGAAGGUACACGGAAACAUGUUAUCUUUGUAUACAGUAACUACAGGUGCAUGAUUUUUUCCCCUUGAAAAUAUUAAAAGACUACCUUUGUGCCCUGGCUGUCCUGUGAGAUUAUAGUUAUUUUAUAGGGGGGAGAAAAUGGUCCACAAAGAAAUUCAUGCUGCAGUCUUUAAUUGCAGCCAUAGGAAUGGCAAGUCCAUCAGACAAAUGCCCACGCAUGUAUAAACGGCCACCCCCAUCAUCUUUCACCAGGUGGAGAAAGGGACACGCAGCAUGCCUGCUCUUUUCACGGUCCGUGUUAAUUUUCCUGACCCUAGUGGCCAUCCAAGGCUGGAAUCACGCUGCAACUCCCCCAAUUACUGUUAUUACCACCAGAAGUUUUCUGCAGGAGGAGUAUGCACCGUGUACAAAGCACCAGCCUUAGGCACUGGGCUAGGAUCAGACUUUUUUUCUCAUUUCCAGUGACUCGUCAUGAAAUAGUGAUCUCAUCAUGAUAAUCUAGGUUUGCUGGGGAGGCGAAAGUGCCUCUCCGCUUCUGACGGCCAAAGGCUCAGGCUGCUUCUAGGCCCUUUGAGCUCAGCCUGAGUGAUGCUAGUAACUCUGGUGCCGGUGCUUUUGGGAGGAGACUGUUCUCUCCCAGUGCACCUAAGGGUGCAAAGAGGGCAUGGAAGACGGUGCAGGAACACACGCGCGCUUCUCCAGCUGAGAGUUUCUCAAAUUGCCAUACCUGCCACGGCAAAACAAGGGAGGCCGUUGUGAUUGUUAAAUUAUGUAUUAAAAAUAUAAUUGGUUAGGGUAGGAGGGGAGGGAGACGAGGAGAAGGUUACUGCAGAAAGGCGUGUUUCCACUUCGACGGCCAAAUGAAGAUGAGGAGUAAAAACUGCGAGAUAAGAUGUCAUGGCUUGCACAUUAUCCACCCAAGGCCCUAGUGGUAUUUUCCCCUGAAAUUUGAUAUAAAGGCACCUAAAGACUUCCUGACAAAUAAAUGGGUGGAAUCGCUGGGGGGCAUUCUUUUCAGGAUGAGUCCUAUGCGUCCUGCCAGCCGGUGGACCCCGUGGGAACACACCCUUAUCCCUGGGAAUUGGGCAUACACACCAGCUUCCCUCCCCCUCACACCCUUAUCCCUGGGAAUUGGGCAUACACACCAGCUUCCCUCCCCCUCACGUACAGGGAAACUGUGCCCGAGGCUGAACUUUCCCUUCCCUGGUGCACAGGAAGCUGCUAAUCCACACCCUCCCGGGGCCUGCCCCCUCCUGGACUUUUUACCUCUUUUUCCUGAUCCCCGGCAAAUAAACAGAGAAUGCCCCUUCCCUCCCCUAGAAGCAGCCAAACUACCAUGAACGCGGUAGCGGGGAGAAACGCGGACAGAGAGCAGGGAGCGAGGAUAUGCUGCUGCCGUGAGUCCCUCUUGCCUCUGGCCCAGGUGUACCCCGCUCACCUUCGGCCAGGGGGUGUCUAUCGACUGAACGGGGGGGGGAGGAAGGUGUAAAAGCCAGUUCGGGGGGGCAGACAGUGGUAAAGGUAGUGCAGAUCCCGAUUCACGGGACAAGGAACGAGGUCAAGCACUGGCGAGUGUCGUUUGACAGGGCUGCGGGGCUGGGGUGGUGGUGCAGGCCGGGGCUGCUCCCGGAGAUGAGAGGUCCUUGGACUUUCCCCUGCAGAAAGGGGGGUUGCAAAGAACCAGGAGUCGGGUGGUGGAGGGAGUAGGUGGGGGCGGCCGGGGGUGUGGUGUGUGCUGGGUGAACGCUGCAGGAAAGUCAGAGGGGAGGCGGAGAGGAGGUCCCGCACUAGGA